AUGAACGCUGGCGGCGUGCCUAAUACAUGCAAGUCGAGCGAACAGACGAGGAGCUUGCUCCUCUGACGUUAGCGGCGGACGGGUGAGUAACACGUGGAUAACCUACCUAUAAGACUGGGAUAACUUCGGGAAACCGGAGCUAAUACCGGAUAAUAUAUUGAACCGCAUGGUUCAAUAGUGAAAGACGGUUUUGCUGUCACUUAUAGAUGGAUCCGUGCCGCAUUAGCUAGUUGGUAAGGUAACGGCUUACCAAGGCAACGAUGCGUAGCCGACCUGAGAGGGUGAUCGGCCACACUGGAACUGAGACACGGUCCAGACUCCUACGGGAGGCAGCAGUAGGGAAUCUUCCGCAAUGGGCGAAAGCCUGACGGAGCAACGCCGCGUGAGUGAUGAAGGUCUUCGGAUCGUAAAACUCUGUUAUUAGGGAAGAACAAAUGUGUAAGUAACUAUGCACGUCUUGACGGUACCUAAUCAGAAAGCCACGGCUAACUACGUG
rnacentral:rRNA from 1 species